UGAUGAAACACAGCUGUGGACUUGUUACUACUGUGAAAUACUGUGAGUGACGUUCAUCUGAGCAGAAGCUGGAUUCUGACAGUCAGAGUGUGACGCUGUGAUUGGUCACUAAGAAUCAUAAAGGAAACGCUUUGGGUGCAGACUUGUCACUUCCUGUAUGUUUGUACAGUGAAGGUCAAUCCAAACUGUCAUCUGUACUAUGAAGAUGACUGGGUUCUACUGACUCACUGGUUUAACUAAAUGGGUCCAGGUCAUUGUUUUCAGAACCAAAUUGCUUUUUUGUGUCCUGCAGUUCUGGACUGAAAGACCAGAUUUUUUUAGUGAUUCUUCUUUCUUUUUACACUUUAAGCGAAAAUUUGACCCUCACCAUGAACGUCAAAACCCACCACAAUCUGCACUCACAUUGUACCUGAUAAAAAUGAAUUUUGGGCUUAGUGAACGACCCAUGUUCAUGGAUUGAUGGCCAUUCUUUUUUCUGUCGUAUGGCUCUGCAGGACGGGGAGGUCCUAGGGGUCCACAGGAGCCACAAAUAUCCAGGGAUUUCUUUUGGAGUCCCUGCAGAUGUUGUCCUCCAGUUCCUGAAUUCUACACCAGCAGACGCUUCUCAACCGCGACCUUCUGCUCUGGCCUCCUUGUUCCGGUCCCUCCAGCCCGCAUGUCGCAUGGAGGAGAGCAAUAGUCCCAUGGCCCCCCUGGACCAAACACAACCCUGCCAGCAGCUCCAGCACCAGUUCGCCUGAUCCCCCUCCCUAUCUUAAGUUUUGCAGCGGUGCGGCCAGGGGAGGCAGUCCUAGUUUUCGGGAGCCCUUCUGGAUUGCCAUGGACUGUCACCCCUGACAUCAUCAGCCUGGUAAGGAGGAGGAGGAGGGCCACCAUGCUGCAGCACAGCUGCCUUACAACUGUGAGCCCUCCAAUCCAUGAAAACCAGCGGACUGUCAUACACAUGCAAAAAUGGAGCUGCAAAAGUAACUUUUUAUUUUCAAAAAUCAUUCUUAAGUGAGCCAAAGAAGUGCAUCCCUUCAGAGCACUUUGAAGAGUGGGGGCACAGGAUUUAUUAUAUCACCCAAUGGUGAUAUUAUAACAUGUGUCCACGUUGUAGAGGGAGCCUCAGAGUUCAGGUCAAACUGAAGAGUGGGGGUUAUUUGCAGGCCACCAUUGAAAGAGUGAAUGAGGAGAAUGACAUCGCCCUCAUUCAUGUUAAUCCAUCGGUGAGAAUGUGCUUCCUCUUUGUCCUCUCCCUUUUCUUCUCAUCCUCCCACUUCCUCUCCUCUCCUUCCUCAUUCUCCACUUUUCUUUCUUUUCCUCUUAAUCUCCUUUUUUCCUUCCUUCUUUGAAGCUUUAAAGUGUAAUAUAUUGUUAAUUUCUCACAAAAACAACCCUAAAGUGGUAUUUAGAGUAUUUCUCUAAAACUCUGCACUCUGAGCACCAGCCCCCCCCAUCUUUGAAAACGAGCACGUUGUCAUACGGUUGUAAAAACGGAGCUGCAAAAAUAACAAUUAUCUUUUAUUAAAUCGUUCUUUAGUGAGCCAAAGGUAAUUAAUUAUCAUAUUUCUGCAUGUAGACUAUAGAAUAGCAUGAAAUGUCCUUUAAAUCUGCUGUCCCCUCUGUCUCUGUUCAGUUGGAACCUUCCAGGGGGGG